rnacentral:rRNA from 1 species
UACGGAGGGGGCUAGCGUUGUUCGGAAUUACUGGGCGUAAAGCGCACGCAGGCGGUCUUUCGCGUUUUGAGUGACAGGUGGGGGCUUAACUCCCACAGGCCUCAGAAGACGGGAAGACUUGAGGGCUUCAGAGGGACGCGGAAUUCCAGGUGGAGCGGUGAAAUGCGUAGAGAUCUGGAAGAACACCGGUGGCGAAGGCGCUCUGCUAGGCCGCAACUGACACUGAGGGACGAAAGCUAGGGGAGCGAAUGGG